GGUUUAAUUACCCAAGUUUGAGGUAAACAUUGAAACUGACCCAAAGAAAUUUGGCGUUGGCUAUAAAUUUUGGAAC
rnacentral:snRNA from 16 species